AUGGAAAUUAAACAUUAUGUUCCCAAAGGAUCAGUGAGUCCAUGAAAAAAAUUAGAAGAAAAGUAAAAAGUUUCUACAAACAAAAAUGAAAAUGCAACAUAUCAAAACCUACAGGAUACAACAAACACAAUACUAAGAGGAAAUUUUAUAGCAACAACCAAUCGCAUCAAAAAAGCAGAAAAAUGUUAAAUACACAAGCUAACAAUGCAUCUUAAAGAAUUAGAAAAGCAAAACCAAACCAAACCCAAAAUUAGUGGAAGAAAAGAAAGAUAAGAGCAGAAAUAGGUGAAAUUGAAAUGAAAAAAAAAAAAAAACACGCAAAAUAUCAACAAAAAGAAAAGUUGCUUUUUAAAAAGAUAAAAUUGACAAAUCUUGAAUUGUCUGCUGCGUCUUGAUCAGCAGAAGCUGCUCCUCCUGUUAUCUUGACAUUUUUUUAAGCCAAACACUUUUCUAAAAUUAAGAAAGCACACUUCGCCAGCAUUACUUUCUCAAGCUUUAGAUUUUUCACCUUCCUUUUGCUUUAAGUUGUCACAUAAUGAGUUUGCUUUUUUAAAAAUCAAAUUUGAGUCCACGGGUAUGCUUUUCUUACAGCAAUCCU
rnacentral:lncRNA from 1 species